rnacentral:rRNA from 1 species
UACGUAGGGUGCAAGCGUUAAUCGGAAUUACUGGGCGUAAAGCGUGCGCAGGCGGUUAUGUAAGACAGGUGUGAAAUCCCCGGGCUUAACCUGGGAACUGCAUUUGUGACUGCAUAGCUAGAGUACGGCAGAGGGGGGGAUGGAAUUCCGCGUGUAGCAGUGAAAUGCGUAGAUAUGCGGAGGAACACCGAUGGCGAAGGCAAUCCCCUGGGCCUGUACUGACGCUCAUGCACGAAAGCGUGGGGAGCAAACAGG